ACAGCUCACCGUUCCAUUUUUUUUUCUCCACCGCUGGCCCCAAUUCAGGUAGUCUCCGGCUCUCCGCUCCUAUCCUAUCCCAAAAGGAAAGAAAAAGUUAGUCUCCGCUUGCAGGAAUCCUCCAAAACCAAAUCGCGGACUGCGUCCCUCACGUACGAAUGGAGCUUCAAUUGGAGAUUUACGUACUAUUGUUGGACUUGGAUAACCAUGGCGGACGGCCGGGCGGAAGAGGGCGAGGCAACUUCUAUCCGACCAGGCGCUCGAGGCUUGCGACGCAUAUUGGGGCUAAUGGCCGGCCUUCUGUCGGUCGUCUACCUGUAGAAGAUAGAGGGCCUGGUGCCUGGCGUUGCAGUGAAUCGGCGACGACGCGGCCAUGAAUUGGUUCAUAUGGUGCUCUCAGGUUGAGGGAGCUUUCACGAUCAGGUCUUUUGCAUACAUUUCUCAUAACUUUUGUCCAUUCCAUAGCAAUAGUUUUGAAAAAUAAAUGAUUUGUACAACCAUAACAGUAACAGGCUUAUUUUUUGUUUUGUUUUUGUUUUGCUCAUAUCAUAUAUAAAGAUACCAAAAUGUUAAUAUUAGUCAUUCUGUGGCAUAGAUUUGACUGCUUACCUGCAGGAUUGCAGUAUUAUUCAGAUUUGACGGUUAUAAUUUCUCAUUGUUUCCCGUUUUAUGCAUAUCAAUUUUCUGAGUGCUAAUGUUUGAAGAGAUCACACCAAGGAUCUCAUACUGAGGCUCAUGGAAGUUGUGUUUUGUUUAUAUGUUAGAAACCUGAUGGUUGUCUGAUGAGAUAGAUUUUGCACUGGUCAUAUAUUUGUGGAUCCAUAGGAUGUUACCCAAUGGUCUGGUUUUGAAAACUUCAGUUCUGCAGUUGGUGUUGUUUUGUACUUCUGUACUUUAAAUCAUGGUACAUAUACAAUUUCAGCAAUUGGCCAUUUCAAUUUAUCUCCUAUCUAAAUUACUGAUGAAACAUAUAUUGUCAGGUUGUGUUUAAGAAUGAAUGGCCACGCUGAUUCCGCUGGUGACAUAAUUAUUCUUGGAAUAUAGACCUUUUCUCCCACAUGAGUUCCAAUUUUGUUAUGAUUGCCUUCCAUAGAUAGGUCUACCUAUUCCACCAUAUCAAUCGAUAAAUACUUGAUUUCCCAAAUCAUUGUUGAUUGAUUCCAUUAUUGAAUCAAAUGCAUUUAGCUCUUCGGAGUUAAGAUGACCAAUGAUCCUCUAGUGCUCUUAUUUUUUUCCUCUUUGUUGUAUCUCGGCUCUUCAUUAAGCAAUCUGUUUCCAAAUACCUUUAUCUCUGAAGAAUUGGGAAGUUCUAUUCCUUCUGUGAAGCUAUGAGGCAACCUUUCAUUAAGUGUUUUUCCAGCUUGUCUCAUGACCUUCUCUAUUUCUUCUGUGAAGCUAUGAGGCAAAGUCAGGAGAGUUCAAGAGUUUUCUCUGUUUGUACUCCAUGUUACUUCCCAGCAUGAUUCCCACAAUAGUUGGCAUAGGAUGGUUUUGAAAAGUUAUCUUAGAUUGUUUACAGUCGCCCAAAUUCAUGCCUCAUUGAUGCAGUCAAGCCACUCUUUUUCGUCAUCAAGAAAUCCUAGUGCUUCACAAGCUGCUUUGUAUGAGGUGUAGACAAUUCCAUUUAGAGUUCUUAUGUCUUCAAAAGAUGUGCAUCCUCUGACAACGUUAAGUAACAUACACAUGUAAUAUUAUUCGUGGCUUGUUGGAUGGGCGUAAUAUAUCCUUCAAACUGAUAUUCCUUUCUUUCUUUUGGUCCAGUGUGUCUGUAUGGCUUCUUCACACAUCCUUUUUUCCCUCUUAAUCCACCGUAAAUUUAGUGAUUCCUACUCUUUCUUUCCAACGAUCUUUGUUAAAUAUGUAGAAUUCGAGAAAAUGACUUAUUACUCACUCUGUAGGUGGAAAGGCACCUUUCAAUUCAGGGAUCUCGAACGUGCAUCUCGAAAUGGAAUAUUCUCCAUCAUGUGUCGGUUCCAGAUGUACGUGCAUUCGAGAAACGUUGGCAUCGUCACCGGCUGGCUGCAGUUCAGGUCGAUCCUUAGCUCGGCGCCUCCUCCUUCUUGAACGCCUUCUCCACGGUCGAUAAUGAUCUGCUGCACACCUCCACAUUUAUAUGUGCUUCAUACUUUACCAGUAGAUUUUUCAUCGUAUGGGAAAUUAGUUGUGUCUUAUCCUAUUUGCUUCAUACUUUACCAAUGGAGUACUAUGGUACUGCAUAUAAGGCUUUUUUACGUGUUCUAUUAUUUAAAGAAUAAAAUAACAUUUUUGUGUGCAAGGUACAACUAUACUUACGGAGACAUAGAUGAUUCGAUUGAAUCGAUCACGCAUCUGCCGACGCUGCAAGUUGCUGCUUAUGCUGAUGCUGGAGUACAUGAUGACGACCAUCAGUGUCUUUGCCCAUGGCCUCGGUGCAGAUGAGUGACAUAUGAUGGGCGAUAGAGACCCGAUUUUGGAUAACUAUGAUCGGGAAGCUGAAGCACAUAUAAAUGGCAUCAUAAACGGUGAUAUUCCCUAUAUGCCACCAGAAUAUGAAGAAGAAGAUGUUUAUUCAUAUCUAAACCUUGACGGUGAAGGUGAAGUUGAAGGUGACGAUCAAGGCAUGGACAUUGAAACGUUUGCUGGAGGGCGAGCCCUCUGGAUCGAUAAAAUCGAUUGCAACAAAGCCGCGUGGCAAAACCCAAACGAUGAAACCUAGAGAAACGUUGACGAUCGAUGAAAAUGGCAGGCGGUUGGAGCCCAAAAAGCACUUGACAAAGUUUAUUAACCAAUGCAGAGUGGUUGCUAGAGACAACAUCUCGAUCGCCCUCUAGGAAUGCAAUGAGCCAAAGAAGAGGGUAAUGUGAUUCCGGGUGGACGUCAGAGGAGAAGGCUAGUCAAAGAGUUCGCUCUUAAGAAGAUGGGCGAAGAAUUCCGGAACUUCAAAAAAAAUAUAGCCCGGCACUAUAUCUCGAAGAAGAAGAAGACUCCGGAUUUCAAAGGAUAGUAUGAGAGACUGAAAGAUGUGUGGCCCGAAUUUGUGAAGCAAAAGGAAUCGAAGCUUACCAAGACCAUAUCGGGAAAAAAUAAGGAAAAUGCUAAUAAAAAGAGUACCAUCAUAUUAUGGGGCGAGGAGGAUACCGCACUUUGGAGCCUAAGUGUGAGAAGAUGGAGAACAACCUAAGGGAGCGAGUAAUCACUCUAGGUACAGAGGGAUGGGACCCAAGGGCCAAAAGCUGGUGGUAUGGGCAUGGGGGAUCGCUAGACCCGAACACAGAGAGGUGUGUUCACCGGAAGAAAGUGUUUACUCCCACCGCCGCUCUUGUUGCGGCAAUGGCCGAAGCUCAAGCGGGGAAGAUCAAGGUGAACAGAGAGAAGGACCCGCUAACAGUAGCCCUCGGGAAUUCUGAACACCCUGGACGUGUACGAGGCAAAGGCGCCAUUCUGUGGAAGGAAGGGUUUCCCCAGGACAAUGACCCGUACAAUUACAAAAGCCGUAAUAGAAAUACGGGCCGUGAUGCAGAUCGUCUAGGGAACUUGAAAAGGGAACUAUUUGAUGUGAAGCAGAUGGUGUGUGAUCUAGCAACAUGCAGAUCGGCAUGGGCCGCGUGAAGAUCAUGCAGCAAAUAUCAGAAGCCAGCAGCGGAGAAGCAGCGUGGCUUCCACGGAUGUCCCGGCUGGUGCUAAUGCACCGACGAUCGAUGGUGCACCGGGGCCUCGCUACCCUGUGGACGAUGUACGGGACAUUAUGAAAGAAUAUGAGCUGCUUCAGCCAAUGAGGAACAUUUCCUGCAAGGUGGCAUUCGGCACCGCUUUACCUUGUAAACCUGGAGCACUCCAUCACAACAAUCCCAGUGCAGCUGGCUAUGCUUGUGUCACGGUGGAUGACGUACUCGAAGGGUAUGAGGACCUGUAGAUUUACUAUGUGUCAACACCCGGAUUUUUAAGUCCGAAUGCCUAUUAUGUCAUACAUCGCAAUCCCAGGAAUAUUGUUGUUGCGAGGCAUAAUAGUUAAGUAUCACAGUCAUCAUUCAUUACAAACCAUAAUGUCUUACAACUUGGAAUCACAUCA